AGUUCUACAUCCUGGGCUGGAAAGAUGC
rnacentral:piRNA from 1 species